UUCUUGCGGUGAUUACUGCCCUUGGUUAUUACCUGAGGGCGUUGCAAGAGCCUUAUUUACACCGCCAAGUUGAGAAUUUAAAAACAUUUUUAAAAAUAGGUUUAUCUGCGUAUCCUGGUGAAGUUAGGAUGCAGAGAACUUGGAGCGGUUGUUUUCUACCAGACACGAGGAUCCCUGUGAAAGAUCCAAAGGGAGAUACCCAUCCAUAGAAGAUGGUUGCUGUCAGAAAAUGCUGAGGAGUUUGCACAAGGAACGGAAGUGGAGUUGACCAAUGCAUCAGGAAGCGUACACUUUCUUUUUAAACCGCUGUGCUCGUCUGUAAAGACCCAAACCUGAGGGGUAAAAGGGGAGAGAAUGAAGUUAAUGCUUCUGUGUCAUAGAGAAAAGCUGCCAGAAUGUGAUUAAGCUUUUUGAGUUAGAACUUAAUAAAAAUGCCUUUGCUACUGGUUUCCA
rnacentral:lncRNA from 13 species